rnacentral:rRNA from 1 species
AACGGAGGGUGCAAGCGUUGUUCGGAAUUACUGGGCGUAAAGCGCGUGCAGGUGGUUUUUUAAGUCUCGUGUGAAAUCCCUCGGCUUAACCGAGGAACUGCGCUAGAUACUGAAAGACUUGAAUACGGGAGAAGAGGGCGGAAUUCCCAGUGUAGAGGUGAAAUUCGUAGAUAUUGGGAGGAACACCGGCGGCGAAAGCGGCUCUCUAGACCGAUAUUGACGCUCAUACGCGAGAGCGUGGGUAGCAAACAGG